rnacentral:rRNA from 1 species
AUUGAACGCUGGCGGCAGGCCUAACACAUGCAAGUCGAGCGGAUGAAGGGAGCUUGUUCCUGGAUUCAUCGGCAGACGGGUGCGUGAUGCCUAGGACUGUGCCUGUUCGUGGGGGAUAACGUUAGGAAACGGGCACUGUUACCGCAAACGUAUUGAGGGGGAAAGCGGGAGAUCUUCGGACCUCACGCUAUCAGAUUCGCCUAGGUCGGAUUAGCUAGUUGGUGGGGUAAAGGCCUACCAAGGCGACGAUCCGUAACUGGUCUGAGAGGAUGAUCAGUCACACUGGAACUGAGACACGGUCCAGACUCCUACGGGAGGCAGCAGUGGGGAAUAUUGGACAAUGGGCGAAAGCCUGAUGCAGCCAUGCCGCGUGUGUGAAGAAGGUCUUCGGAUUGUAAAGCACUUUAAGUGGGGAGGAAGGGAAGUAAGUUAAUACCUUGCUGUAUUGACGUUACCCGCAGAAUAAGCACCGGCUAACUUCGUG